rnacentral:rRNA from 1 species
CAGUCGCCGCGGUAAUACGUAGGUGGCAAGCGUUGUCCGGAAUUAUUGGGCGUAAAGCGCGCGCAGGCGGCCUAUUCAGUCUGUCUUAAAAGUUCGGGGCUCAACCCCGUGAUGGGAUGGAAACUAGUAGGCUAGAGUAUCGGAGAGGAAAGCGGAAUUCCUAGUGUAGCGGUGAAAUGCGUAGAUAUUAGGAAGAACACCAGUGGCGAAGGCGGCUUUCUGGACGAAAACUGACGCUGAGGCGCGAAAGCCAGGGGAGCGAACGGGAUUAGAUACCCGUGUAGUCCAUGUCUCUUAUACA